GAUGAACGCUGGCUACAGGCUUAACACAUGCAAGUCGUGGGGAAACGGCAUUAUGUGCUUGCACAUUCUGGACGUCGACCGGCGCACGGGUGAGUAUCGCGUAUCCAACCUGCCCCUUACUUGGGGAUACCCCGUUGAAAGACGGCCUAAUACCCGAUGUGUUUCAUUGACGGCAUCCGAUAUGAAACAAAUGUUUUUCCGGUUGGGGAUUGGGAUGCGUCUGAUUAGCUUGUUGGCGGGGCAACGUCCCUUCUUGGCGACGAGCAUUGGGGGUUCUGAGAUGAAGGUCCCCCUCGGGGGAUGUUAGACACGUGCCAAGCUCCUCGUGUGCUUGUUGGUGGUACUUGGGUUGUGGUGUGUUGGGUGUGGCUGGCCGUGUGCGGUAUGUGUAUAGUUUAUGAUUUUAGCGCUUUGGUGGUGUGUUUGUUGUUGUUUGCUUUUGUUGUGUGUUUUUUUUUUGUGUGUUUGUGUUUGUUCGGGAA
rnacentral:rRNA from 1 species